UACGGGGGGUGCGAGCGUUGUCCGGAAUUACUGGGCGUAAAGGGCGCGUAGGCGGUUAUGUAAGUGAGAUGUGAAAUCCCUGGGCUUAACCUAGGAACUGCAUCUCAUACUGUGUAACUAGAGUAUUGUAGAGGGUAGUGGAAUUUCCGGUGUAGCGGUGAAAUGCGUAGAGAUCGGAAGGAACACCAGUGGCGAAGGCGGCUACCUGGACAAAUACUGACGCUGAGGCGCGAGAGCGUGGGGAGCAAACAGG
rnacentral:rRNA from 1 species